GAUGGACGCUGGCGGCGUGCCUAAUACAUGCAAGUCGAGCGAACAGACGAGGAGCUUGCUCCUCUGACGUUAGCGGCGGACGGGUGAGUAACACGUGGAUAACCUACCUAUAAGACUGGGAUAACUUCGGGAAACCGGAGCUAAUACCGGAUAACAUGUUGAACCGCAUGGUUCAACAGUGAAAGACGGUUUUGCUGUCACUUAUAGAUGGAUCCGCGUCGCAUUAGCUAGUUGGUAAGGUAACGGCUUACCAAGGCAACGAUGCGUAGCCGACCUGAGAGGGUGAUCGGCCACACUGGAACUGAGACACGGUCCAGACUCCUACGGGAGGCAGCAGUAGGGAAUCUUCCGCAAUGGGCGAAAGCCUGACGGAGCAACGCCGCGUGAGUGAAGAAGGUCUUCGGAUCGUAAAACUCUGUUAUUAGGGAAGAACAAAUGUGUAAGUAACUAUGCACGUCUUGACGGUACCUAAUCAGAAAGCCACGGCUAACUACGUG
rnacentral:rRNA from 1 species